ACGCUUAACACAUGCAAGUCGAACGAGAUCUUCGGAUCUAGUGGCAGACGGGUGAGUAACGCGUGGGAACCUGCCCAGUAGUAGAGAAUAACUUGGGGAAACUUAAGCUAAUACUUUAUACGUCCUUCGGGAGAAAGCUUUAUGCGCUAUUGGAUGGGCCCGCGUUAGAUUAGUUUGUUGGUGAGGUAACGGCUCACCAAGGCGACGAUCUAUAGCUGGUCUGAGAGGAUGAUCAGCCACACUGGGACUGAGACACGGCCCAGACUCCUACGGGAGGCAGCAGUGGGGAAUAUUGGACAAUGGGGGCAACCCUGAUCCAGCGAUGCCGCGUGAGUGAUGAAGGCCCUAGGGUUGUAAAACUCUUUCGUCAGGGAAGAUAAUGACGGUACCUGAAGAAGAAGAUCCGGCUAACUCCGUGCCAGCAGCCGCGGUAAUACGGAGGGAUCUAGCGUUAUUCGGAAUUACUGGGCGUAAAGCGAGCGUAGGCGGAUUUGUAAGUUGGAGGUGAAAUCCCAGAGCUUAACUCUGGAACUGCCUUCAAAACUACAUUUCUUGAGUUUGGUAGAGGAGAGUGGAAUUCCUAGUGUAGAGGUGAAAUUCGUAGAUAUUAGGAGGAACACCAGUGGCGAAGGCGACUCUCUGGGCCAAUACUGACGCUGAGGUUCGAAAGCAUGGGUAGCGAACAGGAUUAGAUACCCUGGUAGUCCAUGCAGUAAACGAUGAGUGCUAGAUGUUGGGAAUUUAAAUUUCCAGUAUCGCAGUUAACGCGUUAAGCACUCCGCCU
rnacentral:rRNA from 1 species